UAGGGAAUCUUCCGCAAUGGACGAAAGUCUGACGGAGCAACGCCGCGUGAGCGAAGAAGGUCUUAGGAUCGUAAAGCUCUGUUGUCAGGGAAGAACAAGUGCCGUUCGAACAGGGCGGUACCUUGACGGUACCUGACGAGGAAGCCACGGCUAACUACGUGCCAGCAGCCGCGGUAAUACGUAGGUGGCAAGCGUUGUCCGGAAUUAUUGGGCGUAAAGCGCGCGCAGGCGGUUCCUUAAGUCUGAUGUGAAAUCUCGCGGCUCAACCGCGAGCGGCCAUUGGAAACUGGGGAACUUGAGUGCAGGAGAGGGGAGCGGAAUUCCACGUGUAGCGGUGAAAUGCGUAGAGAUGUGGAGGAACACCAGUGGCGAAGGCGGCUCUCUGGCCUGUAACUGACGCUGAGGCGCGAAAGCGUGGGGAGCGAACAGG
rnacentral:rRNA from 2 species